rnacentral:pre_miRNA from 1 species
UGAAUUCAAAUUUGUAUGGAUCUGGAACGUUUGCCUACGUUUGCCGCUAGGGGCGCUGUUUUAACUGCAUACAAGUUAACUUUU